UUACAAAACGAAUAAAAUAGCUUGUGUAUUUUUCAGGAUCCAAUGUUGUUUACCGGUCCACUUCGAAGAAACAUCGAUCCUUUCAAUGAAUAUUCAGAUGAAAUUCUAUGGAAAGCUAUAGAAGAGGUGCAAUUAAAGGAAGUUAUCAGUACGUUGCCUGGAGGAUUGGAUACACAUUUGUCAGAAGGAGGACGAAAUUUCAGCGUAGGAGAAAGACAGUUAAUUUGUCUUGCCAGAACGAUUCUUCGCCAGAAUAAAAUCCUGGUCAUGGAUGAAGCAACAUCAAA